CCUACGGGAUGCAGCAGUGAGGAAUAUUGGUCAAUGGGCGAGAGCCUGAACCAGCCAAGUCGCGUGAAGGAUGACGGCCCUACGGGUUGUAAACCUCUUUUGUCGGGGAGCAAAAGCCGGACGUUUCCGGCUGUGAGAGUACCCGAAGAAAAAGCACCGGCUAACUCCGUGCCAGCAGCCGCGGUAAUACGGAGGAUGCGAGCAUUAUCCGGAUUUAUUGGGUUUAAAGGGUGCGCAGGCGGAUUUUUAAGUCAGCUGGCAAAUCGUGGGGCUCAACCCCAUCCAGCCGUUGAAACUGGGGAUCUAGAGUGUGCGAGAGGGAUGCGGAAUGCGUGGUGUAGCGGUGAAAUGCAUAGAUAUCACGCAGAACCCCGAUUGCGAAGGCAGCAUACCGGUGCACAACUGACGCUCAGGCACGAAAGCGUGGGUAUCGAACAGGAUUAGAGACCCUUGUAGUC
rnacentral:rRNA from 1 species